rnacentral:rRNA from 1 species
AGAGUUUGAUCCUGGCUCAGGAUGAACGCUGGCGGCGUGCCUAAUACAUGCAAGUCGAGCGAGAAGCUACUUUGACGCGUUUUCGGACAAGUCUGUGUAGUGGAAAGCGGCGGACGGGUGAGUAACGCGUAGGCAACCUGCCCUUAGCAGAGGGAUAGCCAUUGGAAACGAUGAUUAAAACCUCAUAAAGCUGCAUAAACACAUGUAGAUGCAGCCAAAGAUUUAUCGGCUAAGGAUGGGCCUGCGUCUGAUUAACUAGUUGGCGGGGUAACGGCCCACCAAGGUGACGAUCAGUAGCCGACCUGAGAGGGUGAUCGGCCACAUUGGAACUGAGACACGGUCCAAACUUCUACGGAAGGCAGCAGUAAGGAAUCUUGCACAAUGGGGGAGACCCUGAUGCAGCCACGCCGCGUGAGUGAUGACGGCCUUCGGGUUGUAAAGCUCUGAUCUUGGGGAAGAAGAAAGUGACGGUACCCAAGGAGAAAGCCCCGGCUAACUACGUGCCAGCAGCCGCGGUAAUACGUAGGGGCAAGCGUUAUCCGGAAUUAUUGGGCGUAAAGAGUGCGUAGGUGGUUACCUAAGCGCAAGGUUUAAUCUUGAGGCUCAACCUCAUUCUGCCUUGCGAACUGGGCUACUUGAGUGCUGGAGGGGAAAGCGGAAUUCCCAGUGUAGCGGCGAAAUGCGUAGAUAUUGGRARGAACACCGGUGGCGAAGGCGGCUUUCUGGACAGUAACUGACACUGAGGCACGAAAGCGUGGGGAGCAAACAGGAUUAGAUACCCUGGUAGUCCACGCCGUAAACGAUGAGCACUAGUUGUUGGGUCCGARUGGAUUCAGUGACGCAGUCAACGCAAUAAGUGCUCCGCCUGGGGAGUACGGUGGCAACACUAAAACUCAAAGGAAUUGACGGGGACCCGCACAAGCAGCGGAGCAUGUGGUUUAAUUCGAAGCAACGCGAAAAACCUUACCAGGGCUUGACAUCCCUCUGAAAGAACCCUUAACCGGGUUCCUCCUUCGGGCAGAGGUGACAGGUGGUGCAUGGUUGUCGUCAGCUCGUGUCGUGAGAUGUUGGGUUAAGUCCCGCAACGAGCGCAACCCUUGUCGUCAGUUACUAACAUUUGGUUGAGGACUCUGGCGAGACUGCCGAGGUUAACUCGGAGGAAGGUGGGGAUGACGUCAAAUCAUCAUGCCCCUUAUGUUCUGGGCUACACACGUGCUACAAUGGUCGGUACAAUGAGACGCAGAGUCGCGAGGCGGAGCAAAUCACCAAAACCGAUCCCAGUUCGGAUUGCAGGCUGCAACUCGCCUGCAUGAAGUCGGAGUUGCUAGUAAUCGCGAAUCAGCAUGUCGCGGUGAAUGCGUUCCCGGGUCUUGUACACACCGCCCGUCACACCAUGGAAGUUGGGGGCGCCCAAAGUUGGCUAAUUAAUCUGCUACCUAAGGCGAAACCAAUGACUGGGGUGAAGUCGUAACAAGGUAACCGUA